UGCGGCAUAGUGUAGCGGUUAGCACCUUUGGUUUUGAUGUUACAAUAAUAUAUCAGUUCCAAAUAACCCGAGUUCGAAUCUCGGUGCGGCAU